rnacentral:rRNA from 1 species
AGUCGACGGUGAGCUCAGCUUGCUGGGUGGAUCAGUGGCGAACGGGUGAGUAACACGUGAGCAACCUGCCCCGGACUCUGGGAUAAGCGCUGGAAACGGCGUCUAAUACUGGAUAUGAACCGCAGCCGCAUGGCUAGUGGUUGGAAAGAUUUUUCGGUCUGGGAUGGGCUCGCGGCCUAUCAGCUUGUUGGUGAGGUAAUGGCUCACCAAGGCGUCGACGGGUAGCCGGCCUGAGAGGGUGACCGGCCACACUGGGACUGAGACACGGCCCAGACUCCUACGGGAGGCAGCAGUGGGGAAUAUUGCACAAUGGGCGGAAGCCUGAUGCAGCAACGCCGCGUGAGGGAUGACGGCCUUCGGGUUGUAAACCUCUUUUAGCAAGGAAGAAGCGAAAGUGACGGUACUUGCAGAAAAAGCGCCGGCUAACUACGUGCCAGCAGCCGCGGUAAUACGUAGGGCGCAAGCGUUAUCCGGAAUUAUUGGGCGUAAAGAGCUCGUAGGCGGUUUGUCGCGUCUGCUGUGAAAUCCCGAGGCUCAACCUCGGGCCUGCAGUGGGUACGGGCAGACUAGAGUGCGGUAGGGGAGAUUGGAAUUCCUGGUGUAGCGGUGGAAUGCGCAGAUAUCAGGAGGAACACCGAUGGCGAAGGCAGAUCUCUGGGCCGUAACUGACGCUGAGGAGCGAAAGGGUGGGGAGCAAACAGGCUUAGAUACCCUGGUAGUCCACCCCGUAAACGUUGGGAACUAGUUGUGGGGUCCAUUCCACGGAUUCCGUGACGCAGCUAACGCAUUAAGUUCCCCGCCUGGGGGAGUACGGCGCAGGCUAAACUCAAGGAAUUGACGGGGACCCGC